rnacentral:rRNA from 1 species
UACAGAGGUCCCAAGCGUUGUUCGGAUUCAUUGGGCGUAAAGGGUGCGUAGGCGGCGCGGUAAGUCGGGUGUGAAAUCUCGGGGCUUAACUCCGAAACUGCAUUCGAUACUGCCGUGCUUGAGGACUGGAGAGGAGACUGGAAUUUACGGUGUAGCGGUGAAAUGCGCAGAUAUCGUAAGGAAGACCAGUGGCGAAGGCGGGUCUCUGGACAGUUCCUGACGCUGAGGCACGAAGGCCAGGGGAGCAAACGGG